rnacentral:rRNA from 1 species
ACCUUUUGAGUUUGUUCUUGUGGGUUUCGAGGAGUUUAAAAGCCUUCGGAUUUGCUAGGAUUGGGCUCUUUUGGUGUACUUUCUCGUACGGUUAGUCAACAUCGGUUUUGAAUGUCAUAAAAUGACUGGAGGAAUGUGGCUUCGAUCUCGCAUCGAAGUGUUAUAACCUUUGGUAGAUGUGAUGUUUGAGACCGAGGAUUGCAACGGAUACCCUUCCAGGCUAUUCGUCUGAUCUCUGAUACGUUGCCUUGAUGUCGAAAGCGUGCUUAUGAUGUUAGGGUAUUACGGUCAAAAGGUUAGAACGGAUUAAAUUCGUUAAGGAUGUUGACGUAAUGACUUU